UGUUCAUCCUAUCUCCGCUCUCCCAUUCAAGCUUUGACAUAAAUAAAUUUCUAUAAGGCACCUAAAGCAACAAAUUGGCCCUGAAAGAGCGUGCUGAUGCAUGAAGCUAUUUAACAUGCUUCCUCUAUUUCACCUGGCAUCAGAGAUAACUUUGACCCAUGUCUGAUAGAUUCCAUAAUCUUUCACUAAGAAUAUAUCAUCAGCAUCAACUUCUUGCAA
rnacentral:misc_RNA from 1 species